ensembl:lncRNA novel transcript
GGGCUCGGGACUCUUCCACCUCCUUGGCUGCUCUGGCCUUUGAGUUAUGCUCUAAGAUUAUCGAUUACUUUUCCGUUGUUGCUUAUUUCCCACAGCAGCAGAAUGAGAACGGUUAUUAGUUAAUAGCCAUCAGAGACAGACCAAGUGGAACACAGUCCUCGGAAAAACGCCACUCUGUAGCAUUAGUAAUUAAAACCUCACAAGGUUUGUAUUUCCUGAAGGAGGCCGUCAGUGUCAAUGCUGUACUAACGACGGUACUGUACACUUCUCAGUCCUUUAUGUGGAGCUGGGGGCAGGAAGAAUUGCUUCUGGAAGCUGAUGGAGUUGGACAUGUGGCUUUCUAGAAUCUGGUCAGCUCAUAAAUUCUUACUAUUACUUUCAUUUGUACCCAUAAUAUUCAUACAACUGUCUACCCUAUCUAUGUGCUACUGGAUGUGAUGGUGCAGGAAAAACUCCUGCCCAUUGAGAGGGCUCCGUAAGUGCUUCCCAAAAGAGAAUGAGAAGGAAAAGGAGAUCUCCACAGGAACUGCCUCCUUGGAUCCAGGGCAAAAAUGAACCUCCUAUUGGAGAGAAGUGCCCAGCUUGUCAAGAAGUUGAAUCGGUGCAACCAGCGUUUGUGAAAGCAGCAUUUCCCAUUUCACAUAAAGUCAGCUUCUGGCCAACUGGACAAGUCUGAACAAAUAUGAAACCCACUAAAAGGCCAGUGACAGGUGCACACACUACUGACUCUGGCUAGAGGCUGUGGCAGGAAUUGGACUCAUGUCAUCCAGCGACAGUUCCACCAGCAUCUCUUGUGGCUUCCCAAGGACCAGCCUGAGGCAAACUCCUCAGUGGUGUGAAGACUUUCCAUGUCACUGGAAACCCACCACAGAGUUCUACCAAGUAACCAUGCCUCCACCAGUCCACAACAAACUUUUAAGGCCUCUCCAGUUAUGCCUGCAACCAUCCCACAUUAGCAACCUAAGUAGGCCACCAGUAGAGCUGGUCAAGAGAAAGGAUAGGUUCAAUUAAUUAUUUUUUAAUUAAAAAAAAAUAGAGACAGGGUCUUGUUAUGUUGCCGAGGCUGGUCUUGUACUCCUGAGCUGAAAUUAUCUUCCCGCCUCAGUCUCCCAAAGUGCUGAGAUUACAGGUGUGAGCCACCGUACUCAGCCAGAUAGAUUCAAUUUUUAAAACUUUAUUGCCAUUACUGUUCAGUAACCCCUUGAUAUGGUUGAAUAUUUGUCCCCUCCAAAACUUAUGCUGAUAUCUAAUCCCCAAUGUGACACUAUUGAGAGCUGGGGCUUUUAAGAUGUGAUUAGGUCAUGAGGGCUCCACCUUCUGAAUGGAUUAAUCCAUUCAUGGAUUAAUGAGUUCAUGGGUUAAUAGAUUAAUUUAUCUUGGGAGUGGGAUUAGUGGUUUUAUAAGAAGAGUGAGACCUCAGCUAGCAUAUUAGCACUCAGCUCCCUUGGCAUGUGAUACCACCUUGGGACUCUGCAGAGAGUUCCACCAGCAAGGCCUGUACCAGAUGCAGCCCCUUGACCUUGAACUUUUCAGCUUCCAGAACUGUAAGAAAUAGGCCAGGCAUAGUGGUUUACACCUGUCAUCCCACCACUCUGAGAGGCCAAGGCCAGUGGAUUGCUUG